rnacentral:tRNA from 1 species
GAGGGUAUAGCUCAGUAGUAGAGUGCGUGCUUAAGAUACCCGAGGUUCUGGGUUCAAUCCCCGGUACCUCCG